AACGCACCUUGCGCUCUCGGGCUAUUCCUGAGAGCAUGCUUGUUUGAGUGUCGCGUACCUCUCAACCCCACCCCUUUUGAGGGGCGGCCAGGGUUGGAUCAUGACGCCCUGCCUCGCUUUCGAGGCUGCGUUGAAAUGCAGCAAGCUGUAUCCGUACUCGCGCGGCUUGACCCGUUGUCAUAAGCUAACACUUUCAAUGGGGACGCCGAGUGGAACGAGCUUACCUCAAAUUGCUACAUCACACUUUGACCUCAGAUCAAGUAGGACUACCCGCUGAACUUAA
rnacentral:misc_RNA from 1 species